GACGAACGCUGGCGGCGUGCUUAACACAUGCAAGUCGAGCGGAGCGGCGAACGGGUGAGUAACGCGGGAGUAACUGCCCCCCUCUCUGGGAUAACAGUUGGAAACGGCUGCUAAUACCGGAUAGUGGGGGAUGACUCGCGUCCUAUCAGCUUGUUGGUGGGGUAGUGGCCUACCAAGGCGACGACGGGUAGCCGGCCUUGGAGGGCGGACGGCCACAUUGGGCUGAGGUACGGCGCAAACUCGUACGGGGGGCAGCGGUGGGGAAUAUUGCGCAAUGGGGGCAACCCUGAUGCGGCAACGCCGCGUGCGGAAUGACGGCCUUCGGGUUGUAAACCGCUUUCAGCCAUGACGCGGUAGUGGCAGAAGAAGCACCGGCUAACUACGUGCCAGCAGCCGCGGUAAUUC
rnacentral:rRNA from 1 species